rnacentral:lncRNA from 1 species
ACCAUGGGGGACACAUUUUCGCCACAAUGUAUGAUAUGACCAUCCACAUUAUCCUGGUAUAUCAUAAAAACGAAUGUUUGUAAAUAAAUGAAUAAGCUUAAAAGAUCAUUUCUUUACCAUUUUUCUCACAAAUAUUUACUUGAAGACUGCGCAUGAUUGUCAUAUAAAUCUUGCAUAAUAGCCAAAAAUUGUUUAAAAACACCUGCGUAUUCCAUUAUAAGUGGGAAAAACCUUGGAAAUGGGGUAAAGAGGAAUAUCCACCGUUCGAACAUUACAAAAAGCCUAUACUAUCUAUUUAGGAAAGUACUGGGUAAAGGCACACACAUUUUACAGAAAGAAUAGCAAAAUGACGAAUUUGUGUCCAUCGCGAAUAUGCACCCACCACUCUAUGUCCAGUCAACCAAACAAAAAAUAUUGUUUUUACACAAUUUUAUUUAAAAUUCAGAAAAAGGCAAUUAUUAUGUAUUGGAAGAGGUACAUGUAUUAUACAAGAUUUAAAUUAUAUUUGUGAAG